GAUGAAGAACGUAGCGAAAUGCGAUAAGUAAUGUGAAUUGCAGAAUUCAGUGAAUCAUCGAAUCUUUGAACGCACCUUGCACCCUUUGGCAUUCCGAAGGGUAUGCUCGUUUGAGUGUCAUUGUACUCUCACACUCCCAAUUGCUUUGGAUUGGGAGCGAUGGACUUGGGUGUUGCUGCUUGACUGAGGCUCACCUGAAAUAUGUUAGUGCACCUCUUGAUUGGACAUAGUACGGCGUGAUAAGUGUCUUCGCCGGCUCCUCGCAAAGAGGGUGGCCGAUCGGGAGCUCUGUUGCUUCAAACUGUCUUCGGACAAUCUUCUGGCGACUUGACCUCAAAUCGAGUAGGACUACCCGCUGAACUUAAGCAUAUCAAUAAGCGGAGGA
rnacentral:misc_RNA from 1 species